rnacentral:tRNA from 1 species
GGCGGAGUGGCCGAGUGGUCUAAGGCAGCGGUUUUGAAAACCGUCGAGGGAAACCUCCGUGGGUUCGAAUCCUACCUCCGCCG